UCGAACCCUGCAAAGCAGAACGACCCGUGAACACGUAAAAACAACCGAGNGUCGAGUGGAUUAAGGAAUUUUUGAUCCUCUCAAUGCUCUGUCGAUGCGCAUUUACUUUUGUUCUUUUGGACUUGGUAAAUGUGUCAUUGACGCAAUAACAACCCCCGGCACAAUGUGUGCCAAGGAAAACUAAACUUGAGAAUGCUUGUUUCAUGUUGCCCCGUUCGCGGUGUGCUCCUGGGAUUUGGCUUCUUUAUAAAUCGCGUCGCCCCCAACAAAUCUUUGUUGGGAGCGGAUAUUGGUCUCCCGUGCUCAUGGCGUGGUUGGCCAAAAUAGGAGUCCCUUCGAUGGACGCACGAACUAGUGGUGGUCGUAAAAACCCUCGUUCUUUGUUCUGCGUUAGUCGUAAGGAAAAGCUCUUCAAAUACCCCAAUGUGUUGUCUUAGGACGAUGCUUCGACCG
rnacentral:rRNA from 1 species